rnacentral:tRNA from 1 species
UGGGGUAUAGCUCAGUGGUAGAGUGUUUGCUUUUCAUGCUUAGCAUGUGUGAGGUCCUGGGUUCAAUUCCCAUUAUCUCCA